rnacentral:misc_RNA from 1 species
UACGGAAGGUCCAGGCGUUAUCCGGAUUUAUUGGGUUUAAAGGGAGCGUAGGCGGCCUGUUAAGCGUGUUGUGAAAUGUAGAGGCUCAACCUCUGCACUGCAGCGCGAACUGGCGGGCUUGAGUUGGCUGAAAGUAUGCGGAAUUCGUGGUGUAGCGGUGAAAUGCUUAGAUAUCACGAAGAACUCCGAUUGCGAAGGCAGCAUGCUGUAGCCUUACUGACGCUGAAGCUCGAAGGGGCGGGUAUCGAACAGG